rnacentral:rRNA from 1 species
CCUACGGGUGGCAGCAGUGGGGAAUAUUGGACAAUGGGGGGAACCCUGAUCCAGCCAUGCCGCGUGUGUGAAGAAGGCCCUCGGGUUGUAAAGCACUUUCAGUGAGGAAGAACGCCUGGUGGUUAAUACCCAUCAGGAAAGACAUCACUCACAGAAGAAGCACCGGCUAACUCCGUGCCAGCAGCCGCGGUAAUACGGAGGGUGCGAGCGUUAAUCGGAAUUACUGGGCGUAAAGCGCGCGUAGGUGGCUUGAUAAGCCGGUUGUGAAAGCCCCGGGCUCAACCUGGGAACGGCAUCCGGAACUGUCAAGCUUGAGUGCAGGAGGGGAAGGUAGAAUUCCCGGUGUAGCGGUGAAAUGCGUAGAGAUCGGGAGGAAUACCAGUGGCGAAGGCGGCCUUCUGGACUGACACUGACACUGAGGUGCGAAAGCGUGGGUAGCAAACAGGAUUAGAUACCCUUGUAGUC